rnacentral:rRNA from 1 species
UGAACUGAGGGUAGCGGAGAAAUUCCAAUCGAACCUGGAGAUAGCUGGUUCUCUCCGAAAUAGCUUUAGGGCUAGCCUCAAGUGAUGAUUAUUGGAGGUAGAGCACUGUUUGGACGAGGGGCCCCUCUCGGGUUACCGAAUUCAGACAAACUCCGAAUGCCAAUUAAUUUAACUUGGGAGUCAGAACAUGGGUGAUAAGGUCCGUGUUCGAAAGGGAAACAGCCCAGACCACCAGCUAAGGUCCCAAAAUAUAUGUUAAGUGGAAAAGGAUGUGGCGUUGCCCAGACAACUAGGAUGUUGGCUUAGAAGCAGCCAUCAUUUAAAGAGUGCGUAAUAGCUCACUAGUCGAGUGACACUGCGCCGAAAAUGUACCGGGGCUAAACAUAUUACCGAAGCUGUGGAUUGUCCUUUGGACAAUGGUAGGAGAGCGUUCUAAGGGCGUUGAAGCAUGAUCGUAAGGACAUGUGGAGCGCUUAGAAGUGAGAAUGCCGGUGUGAGUAGCGAAAGACGGGUGAGAAUCCCGUCCACCGAUUGACUAAGGUUUCCAGAGGAAGGCUCGUCCGCUCUGGGUUAGUCGGGUCCUAAGCUGAGGCCGACAGGCGUAGGCGAUGGAUAACAGGUUGAUAUUCCUGUACCACCUAUAAUCGUUUUA